GACGAACGCUGGCGGCGUGCUUAACACAUGCAAGUCGAACGGAAAGGCCCCUUCGGGGGUACUCGAGUGGCGAACGGGUGAGUAACACGUGAGUAACCUGCCCUUGACUUCGGGAUAACUUCAGGAAACUGGGGCUAAUACCGGAUAGGAAUCCUUGCUGCGUGGUGGGGGUUGGAAAGCUUCGGCGGUUUUGGAUGGACUCGCGGCUUAUCAGCUUGUUGGUGGGGUAGUGGCUUACCAAGGCUUUGACGGGUAGCCGGCCUGAGAGGGCGACCGGCCACAUUGGGACUGAGAUACGGCCCAGACUCCUACGGGAGGCAGCAGUGGGGAAUAUUGCACAAUGGGCGGAAGCCUGAUGCAGCAACGCCGCGUGCGGGAUGACGGCCUUCGGGUUGUAAACCGCUUUCAGCAGGGGCGAAGCUUGUGGUGACGGUACCUGCAGAAGAAGCACCGGCUAACUACGUG
rnacentral:rRNA from 1 species